UACGUAGGGACCAAGCGUUGUUCGGAUUUACUGGGCGUAAAGGGCGCGUAGGCGGCAAUUCAAGUCAUCUGUGAAAUCUCCGGGCUUAACUCGGAACGGUCAGGUGAUACUGCUUUGCUAGAGUGCGGAAGGGGCAAUCGGAAUUCUCGGUGUAGCGGUGAAAUGCGUAGAUAUCGAGAGGAACACCUGAGGUGAAGACGGGUUGCUGGGCCGACACUGACACUGAUAGACGAAAGCUAGGGGAGCAAAUGGG
rnacentral:rRNA from 1 species